rnacentral:rRNA from 1 species
CCUACGGGAGGCUGCAGUCGAGAAUAAUUCACAAUGGGGGAAACCCUGAUGGUGCAACGCCGCGUGGAGGAUGAAGGUCUUCGGAUUGUAAACUCCUGUCAUCUGGGAGUAAGACCUGGCGGUGAAUAGCCGACAGGGUUGAUAGUACCAGAAGAGGAAGGGACGGCUAACUUCGUGCCAGCAGCCGCGGUAAUACGAAGGUCCCAAGCGUUGUUCGGAAUCACUGGGCGUAAAGGGAGCGUAGGCGGCGUGGUAAGUCAGAUGUGAAAUCCCGGGGCUCAACCCCGGAACUGCAUCCGAUACUGCCAUGCUUGAGGGUUGGAGAGGUAGCUGGAAUUAUCGGUGUAGCAGUGAAAUGCGUGGAUAUCGAUAGGAACACUCGUGGCGAAGGCGAGCUACUGGACAACAUCUGACGCUGAGGCUCGAAGGCU